rnacentral:pre_miRNA from 1 species
GGAGUAGGCAUCCAAAGGGAUCGCAUUGAUCCUAAAUUUAAGCAUUAAUAUAUGCUCUCUUUAAUUAAUAUCGCCCAUAUAUAUGAUAUAUUUAAUUGGGAUCAUGCCAUCUCUUUGGAUUUCUCCUU